rnacentral:misc_RNA from 1 species
AACGCACAUGGCGCUUCUCAUGAAGCAUGCUUGUUUCAGUGUGUAUACCUCUCACAGAAGGCUCCGCCUUUUCGUGGUGUAUGAGCCCCACGGCGCCCCCUGUGCGCCGCGUGGCUUGAAGUGAGUUUUCAGAGACCCUGGUGCAAGAGCGUCCCUAUCUCCGGGGAAGCAAUGCAGCGCGGUGUGGUAGGUUCCCCUCGUGGGAUACUAAAAACCCCUGUGACCUGUCUUGCUUCUACUCCAAACUGGGGAUGCCAAAGGUUCGUUUUUCCCAAUCGUGGUUUGUCUGAGGGGCGCUCUGUUACAACAGCGCGCUCCGAGGCGGGGACCCUUGCCGGCCCCCAACCCCCUCAACUUGUACCUGAAAUCAAGUAAGAGAACCCGCUGAAUUUAA